UACGUUCAUAGCUUAGUGGUGGAGCAUCUGUUUCAUAUGCAGAAGGUCCCAGGUUCUAUCCCCAGUGGAGUCU